UACGUAGGGUGCGAGCGUUGUCCGGAAUUAUUGGGCGUAAAGAGCUCGUAGGCGGUUUGUUGCGUCGGCCGUGAAAACCUGCAGCUUAACUGUGGGCCUGCGGCCGAUACGGGCAGACUUGAGUUCGGUAGGGGAGACUGGAAUUCCUGGUGUAGCGGUGAAAUGCGCAGAUAUCAGGAGGAACACCGGUGGCGAAGGCGGCGAUCUGGGAAGAUACUGACGCUGAGGUGCGAAAGCGUGGGGAGCGAACAGG
rnacentral:rRNA from 1 species